rnacentral:rRNA from 1 species
GGCGGCGUGCUUACCAUGCAAGUCGAACGCGAAAGGGACUUCGGUCCUGAGUAAAGUGGCGCACGGGUGAGUAACGCGUGGAUAAUCUACCCGAUGAUCCGGGAUAACAUUUCGAAAGGGGUGCUAAUACCGGGUAAGACCACGAGCUCUUCGGAGUUUGCGGUAAAAGGUGGGGACCUUCGGGCCUACCGUCAACGGAUGAGUCCGCGUACCAUUAGCUAGUUGGUGGGGUAAGAGCCUACCAAGGCGACGAUGGUUAGCUGGUCUGAGAGGAUGAUCAGCCACACUGGAACUGAGACACGGUCCAGACUCCUACGGGAGGCAGCAGUGGGGAAUUUUGCGCAAUGGGGGAAACCCUGACGCAGCAACGCCGCGUGAGUGAUGAAGGCCUUCGGGUCGUAAAGCUCUGUCAGAGGGGAAGAAGUGCAGGGGUGCUAAUAUCACCUUUGUUUGACGGUACCCUCAAAGGAAGCAC